rnacentral:misc_RNA from 1 species
AAAUCUCAACCUUCUUGGUUCCUUCUGGACACCAAAGGAGGCUUGGACUUUGGAGGCCUUUGCUGGCGUCUCUCUCUUUUGAAGGCCAGCUCCUCCUAAAUUGAUUAGUGGGGUCCUCUUUGCCAAUCCUUGACAUGUGAUAAGAUGUUUUCCAUGUCUUGGCUUCUGGCUCUGUUGCCUUUGGGACCCGCUUCUAACCGUCUCAGCCUUGUGCAUCGAGACAACGUUUGAGCGUGUCUCCCUUCUCGGGAAAUGCUCUCAACCCCAUGAAC